CGUACGAAUUGACACACCUGGUCAGAAAGUAUCGCCUGACUGACAAGAUCAUGGACUCGUUAUCAAAAUGUGAGUAGUCCUAUGUCAAGGUUGUUUACGUUGUCUUUAAAUUGAUUAUCUUGAAAGAUAUAUCUGCAGUAUCACGAAAGAAUCAGAAGAAAAAGAAUACAAAUUCCUUCUGGUUGUGUUAGGCCAAACAGGGAGCCAAGGUGGGAUACUCUUCCACCUGCACGGGCCUGAAUUGCCAAUCGGACUAGGUACAGUACGGCUGUUUUCCACACUGAGUCUACCUAGCCAUUGAAGAAAAGAGCACUGACUAAUGAUUGACAUGUGAGCAUUGCUGGUCCCUGGAGGGAGCGUCUCCAAGCAAAUUUUGGACACUAUUCAUCAGAGGUCAAGGUGUCAAGCCUACACGGUUUGUAAUUCAACAUCGAAUUCUGGCAUAUUUCUGGAUAAAUACAAUUCAGAGGUUGAGUAUAAUUGAAGG